UACGGGGGGGGCAAGCGUUGUUCGGAAUUACUGGGCGUAAAGCGUGCGCAGGCGGUGAUGUAAGACAGGUGUGAAAUCCCCGGGCUUAACCUGGGAACUGCAUUUGUGACUGCAUCGCUGGAGUGCGGCAGAGGGGGAUGGAAUUCCGCGUGUAGCAGUGAAAUGCGUAGAUAUGCGGAGGGACACCGAUGGCGAAGGCAAUCCCCUGGGCCUGCACUGACGCUCAUGCACGAAAGCGUGGGGAGCAAACAGG
rnacentral:rRNA from 1 species